rnacentral:rRNA from 2 species
UACGGAGGGUGCAAGCGUUAUCCGGAUUCACUGGGUUUAAAGGGUGCGUAGGCGGAUUUGUAAGUCCGUGGUGAAAUCUCUAAGCUUAACUUGGAAAUUGCCGUGGAUACUAUAAGUCUUGAAUAUUGUGGAGGUUAGCGGAAUAUGUCAUGUAGCGGUGAAAUGCAUAGAUAUGACAUAGAACACCAAUUGCGAAGGCAGCUGGCUACACAACUAUUGACGCUGAGGCACGAAAGCGUGGGGAUCAAACAGG